rnacentral:rRNA from 1 species
UACGUAGGGCGCAAGCGUUGUCCGGAAUUAUUGGGCGUAAAGAGCUCGUAGGCGGCUUGUCACGUCGAUUGUGAAAGCCCGGGGCUUAACCUCGGGUCUGCAGUCGAUACGGGCUGGCUAGAGUGUGGUAGGGGAGGAUCGGAAUUCCUGGUGUAGCGGUGAAAUGCGCAGAUAUCAGGAGGAACACCGGUGGCGAAGGCGGAUCUCUGGGCCGAUAUUGACGCUGAGGAGCGAAAGCGUGGGGAGCGAACAGG